GAUGAAAGGCCGGUUCCCGUACGAUCACCGAAGUUAAGCAACGCAGAGCCUGGUCAUUACCUAGAUGGGUGACCGCUUGGGAAUACCAGGUGCUGUAAG
rnacentral:rRNA from 1 species